rnacentral:rRNA from 1 species
UCGAGAAUUUUUCACAAUGGGCGCAAGCCUGAUGGAGCGACGCCGCGUGGGGGAUGAAUGGCUUCGGCCCGUAAACCCCUGUCAUUUGCGAUCAAACCUUAUUAUUUAAAAGAUGAUAAGCUGAUAGUAGCGAAAGAGGAAGGGACGGCUAACUCUGUGCCAGCAGCCGCGGUAAUACAGAGGUCCCAAGCGUUGUUCGGAUUCACUGGGCGUAAAGGGUGCGUAGGUGGUGGGGUAAGUCGGAUGUGAAAGCUCGGAGCUCAACUCCGAAAUGGCAUUGGAAACUACCCUGCUAGAGGAUUGGAGGGGGGACUGGAAUACUUGGUGUAGCAGUGAAAUGCGUAGAUAUCAAGUGGAACACCAGUGGCGAAGGCGAGUCCCUGGACAAUACCUGACACUGAGGCACGAAAGCUAGGGGAGCAAACAGGAUUAGGAUACCCUGGUAGUCCUAGCCGUAAACGGUGCACGUUUGCUGUAAAGGAUCGACCCUUUGUGGCGUAGA